rnacentral:lncRNA from 1 species
UUUUAUUCAGUCUACAUAUAUAAUUUUAUCAUUAAAUAAGCAUGGUGGUAUUUCUACUAUCUGAUAUAAAAUUAGUAAGAAAAUGAUGAGAAAUUAUCAAGGGGACAACUAAGGGUGUUAAUGAAUAACAAAUACAACUACAUAUCACCAAUAAUAUAACAAUGCAUAAUGAAUGAACCGACUUUGAUAAGUUUGACCCGA